GUCUAUGGCCAUGCCACCCUGAACAAGCCCGAUUCCAUCUGAUCUUGGAAGCUAAGUAGGAUUGGGCCUGGUCAGUACUUGGAAGGGAGACCACCUAGGAAGACAAGGUGCUGUAGGUG
rnacentral:rRNA from 1 species